rnacentral:RNase_P_RNA from 1 species
GCAGAGGCACGGAUGGUCGCUUCAUGCCGGGAGCAUGAAGAGGAAAGUCCGGGCAACAUAGAGCAGCAUACUUUCUAACGGAAAGCCGGUGGCGACGCCGGGGACAAUGUGACAGAAAACAACCGCCAUCCCGACUUAGCGCCGAUGAGGCGCAGGGGUCGGGCUGGCAAGGGUGAAAAGGCGGGGUAAGAGCCCACCGCCCGAAUGGCGACAUGCGGGGCCGCACAUCCUAUG